GAUGCAGGGAACCGCCACGUUGUACGGCAAGCAACUUGCCGCCCCAAUUUGGGCGGGGAUGCAAACUGGCUGUCUCUAUCAAGGCCACGCAGAAAUCUAUUGGGAAUCGCUGUAGAAACAAACGCAAAUGACAAGCCGCAAAGGGCAGAGGCUGCUCAUCGGCCCAUCUCCUCUCAUGACUGCUGCUCUGGGGACCACCUCUCUGCUCUCCACUGCUACCACUCUAGCCUGUGGCCUGCUCCUGGUUAAAGAAGCCAUCAAUCAAAAUGAAUACCACUCUGGAAAUCUUGGGUGGCCUGACCUGAUAUUUUCGCAUAGUGGCCACAGAUAUUUUAGGCCCCCAAGAGGUAGUCUUACUCUUUCAAUUUUACUGGCUCCACUGUUUGAGGAACUUGGAACAAUUUCCCCAGGGACUGGUCUGGAGGUACUGUUGAAUAACACCACAUUGUUUUUCUUCCUCCCCACUAAGGGCCUGUUGAUGUCUCAAGACCAGGCAUAAACCUUUUGGUGUUUAACUCACUCAGAGUAAGAGCCCUGCUUUCCCUCAGCACUCUUGCCCUUCGAGGGUGGGGUCACAUGUUUUCUUCCUUUAUUACUGGGGACAUUUGAUCCUGGUUUUCGUUAUUUGUCAUUCCCAGGGGAAUUUAGUACCCUGUGUCUUGGUAAAUUGUAAGACCACUGUGGAUUUUGGAGUUGAGACUCAUUUCCCUAUCCCUCCCUUCAAGAGAACAAAGAAAGAGAGAGAACACCCAAACCCUUCAUCG